AGGACGAACGCUGGCGGCGUGCUUAACACGUGCAAGUCAAGGGGGCCCAGCAAUGGGCAACCGGCGAACGGGUGCGUAACACGUGAGCAACCUACCGAAAUGUGGGGGAUAGCCGGCCUAACGGCCGAGUAAUACCGCAUACGCUCUCGAUGAGGCAUUUCAUUGAGAGGAAACCUACGGGACAUUUCGAGGGGCUCGCGGCCUAUCAGCUAGUUGGAGAGGUAACGGCUCACCAAGGCAACGACGGGUA
rnacentral:rRNA from 1 species